UACAGAGGUCCCAAGCGUUGUUCGGAUUGACUGGGCGUAAAGGGCGCGUAGGCGGUUCGUACAGUCAGACGUGAAAUUCCUGGGCUCAACCUGGGGGCUGCGUUUGAUACGUGCGGACUUGAGUGCGGAAGAGGGUCGUGGAAUUCCCAGUGUAGAGGUGAAAUUCGUAGAUAUUGGGAGGAACACCGGUGGCGAAGGCGGCGACCUGGUCCGAUACUGACGCUGAGGCGCGAAAGCGUGGGGAGCAAACAGG
rnacentral:rRNA from 1 species